ensembl:lncRNA
AACAUUUUGUUUAAUGGUACUGAAAAAGUAGUAACAUAUGUAUGGCUCCAUCUGUUUCAGACCUGUUUUAGAAAAUCUCCUCAGCAAAUCUUACCUCAUAAAUGGCUUUUUUGGUGAUCUGCAUGCUGCUGCUGCCUACAAUAUGGUUUUACGAUAUGGACUGUUCUUGAAGAGUACUGCUCAUUGUAGUAAUAUGCAAGUUACAACACUACAAAUGGUGUUAAUAUUUAGACAGAUCUUCAAGAAAGCAAUGACUGUCUAAUCAAGCAGUUCAAAGCACGCCUUUAUGAGCAUGUUGAUCCCUUAUGUUAUCUUCCCGCAAAGCCCAUUAAUGCAAGAGAAACUAGGAAAGUAGCUCCAGGUUUUAUUGUAGUCCUGGUCAUUUUAAGAGUCAUUUCCUUCACUUUUAGGGAUACAAAAAGACAUAUAUUUUGUGCAUCGAAGAUUCUGUGUUCUGGUCAAUAACAUAGGCCACAGAGGUCAAUGGCAUUCAGACAAGCCUUUCUGAAAGCCCCCAUAAAUUUUCAGAGGUGAGGGAAGAGACUGGAUGGAUUCAGCCUGUGCAGGAGGAUAGAUAAAAUGCCACUCUUGUAAAGGAGAACAGAAUAUUAAGUCUCAUAAAAACUUAAAGAGGCUAUACAGUUUCCUCAAUGGGGGGAAGAUUUUGCCCACCCAUGUUUUAUUUUACUGCAGGGACAGUAAAAAAGUGCUUUAAAUAAAUGCUUAGUCCACAACUGGUCUAGCACAGCAAAAGCUAAGGCUUUCUUUCAGUCUUCGGUCUCUAUUCCUCUUUUGUCACCAUCUAUUUUGAUGUAGCAACUUCAGAAGAGGCACUUUGUCACUGACAUGUUGAUGAAAACUCCCUCCUUCUCAGAUGUUUCUCUCCUCCUGUUUCCAAGCCAAAAUUGGGUUCAAGUCCAAAUAAAUAUGCAUAUUCUGACUCUGCUUGGGAAUGUAUGUACAUUUGCAUGAGGUAGGUAAUCCUGCUUAAAUAAUUCUCUAUACUUCAUAAAGACUAUUCUUGCUAUAAAACUCUCUGGGACACUCAUUCAGGGUUAUAGUAUCUUUAACAAUACCGUAAAACAGGCCAUGAAAUAACUUGAGCAUCAGAGUGCGGUGUAAAAGAAGUAAAAUAUACCUUUUUCCUACAUAUAAAAUCUUGCAGUAUAUGUAAAAUCAAUUUAUGUAUGUAUAUUUAAUAAUAUAAGUACUGAAACAGUGCAAUGAAAAGAGGAGUGUUUUUUAUGACAGGAAACGGAGAGCACCUUUCUGGCUUUUUUGACUAUGUUUGGAGUGUGCCCAGCACAGUUUCCAUCCAUAUGUCCCAAGGUACUAGCUGCCAGAACAGUUUUGUAGCCAUUUCUCACAGUGAAACUGAGUUUGAGAGAAAAAGCAAGAGAUAUUCUGAAACCUGAUUCAAGCCAUGCACAGAAUAGGAAAUGGAACUCAGAAUUUCCCAGUCCCAAAUGAUUUAAUGCCACCAGACGCUGCACUGCAUCCUGAUAGUUAUGGACUUCCUCUGAUUCCUAUGAUCUCCAUAAAGGACAUGUAAGUCAGUACCUACUUUUAGGCCAGCCCUGCAAUUCUGUGCAAAAGCCUCUUUCUAAGAAGUAACAGACAAAGAAACAAUCAGCAAAUCUUGGGACCUCCUCAGGAUCUUUUCCAGGAUCCAUUAUUUGUAUAACAGAAGAUUCACUGCAUUGAUCUAUACAUUGAUCUGUAUUUUUUUUAGGAAUCUGCCAAGUGUGAAGUUUCCGUCAUCAGCAAUAGCAGGAUCAUGUUGUUACAAAUAAAUGUUCAAGCCAUUCCAUAUUUGCUAAGCAUACUGACUUUUUCCUUCACUUCUUUUGUUUACUUUUCAAAACAGAGGAACCAGCACUUACUGCUUCCUGAUCAGC